CCGGAAUCAUUGGGCGUAAAGGGUACGUAGGCGGUUAAAAAAGUUAGAAGUGAAAGGCUAUAGCUCAACUAUAGUAAGCUUUUAAAACUGUUUAACUUGAGAGAUGGAAGGGAAAGUGGAAUUCCUAGUGUAGCGGUGAAAUGCGCAGAUAUUAGGAGGAAUACCGGUGGCGAAGGCGACUUUCUGGCCAUUAUCUGACGCUGAGGUACGAAAGCGUGGGUAGCAAACAGGAUUAGAUACCCUGGUAGUCAAGGGCG
rnacentral:rRNA from 1 species